rnacentral:rRNA from 1 species
GUGGGGAAUAUUGCACAAUGGGGGAAACCCUGAUGCAGCGACGCCGCGUGAGCGAAGAAGUAUUUCGGUAUGUAAAGCUCUAUCAGCAGGGAAGAAGAAUGACGGUACCUGACUAAGAAGCACCGGCUAAAUACGUGCCAGCAGCCGCGGUAAUACGUAUGGUGCAAGCGUUAUCCGGAUUUACUGGGUGUAAAGGGAGCGCAGGCGGUGCGGCAAGUCUGAUGUGAAAGCCCGGGGCUCAACCCCGGUACUGCAUUGGAAACUGUCGUACUAGAGGGUCGGAGGGGUAAGUGGAAUUCCUAGUGUAGCGGUGAAAUGCGUAGAUAUUAGGAGGAACACCAGUGGCGAAGGCGGCUUACUGGACGAUAACUGACGCUGAGGCUCGAAAGCGUGGGGAGCAAACAGGAUUAGAAACCCGAGUAGUCC